CCCUUAGAUGUUCUGGGCUGCACGCGUGCUACACUGAUAUUGCCAAUAUGUCAUUCUUAUCCGAAAUGGAUUGGGUAAUCAAGUAAUGAAAUUUCAUGCUUGGAAUCGGUAAUUGCAAUUUUAUCGUGAACGAGGAAUUCCUAGUAAGCACUAGUCAUCAGCUAAUGUUGAUUAUGUCCCUGCCCUUUGUACACACCGCCCGUCGCUACUACCGAUUGAAUGAUUUAGUGAGUACCAGGGACCGAGCGCUUUGGUUGGGUUUCCUUCCCUAGCGCUUGGGAACUGUCGCAAACUUGACCAUUUAGAGGAAGUAAAAGUCGUAACA
rnacentral:rRNA from 1 species